UACACUCCUACGGGAGGCAGCAGUGGGGAAUUUUGGACAAUGGGCGAAAGCCUGAUCCAGCAAUGCCGCGUGUGUGAAGAAGGCCUUCGGGUUGUAAAGCACUUUUGUCCGGAAAGAAAUCCUUGGCUCUAAUACAGUCGAGGGAUGACGGUACCGGAAGAAUAAGCACCGGCUAACUACGUGCCAGCAGCCGCGGUAAUACGUAGGGUGCGAGCGUUAAUCGGAAUUACUGGGCGUAAAGCGUGCGCAGGCGGUUUGCUAAGACCGAUGUGAAAUCCCCGGGCUCAACCUGGGAACUGCAUUGGUGACUGGCAGGCUAGAGUAUGGCAGAGGGGGGUAGAAUUCCACGUGUAGCAGUGAAAUGCGUAGAGAUGUGGAGGAAUACCGAUGGCGAAGGCAGCCCCCUGGGCCAAUACUGACGCUCAUGCACGAAAGCGUGGGGAGCAAACAGGAUUAGAAACCCGGGUAGUCCC
rnacentral:rRNA from 1 species